rnacentral:rRNA from 1 species
UUGUGAGCCAUGUGCCAAGAAAAGCCGCUAUAGAUCACACCGUACCCGUACCGUAAACCGACACAGGUAGAUGAGGAGAGAAUCCUAAGGCCGACGGGAGAAGCAUUGUUAAGGAACUCGGCAAAAUGACCCCGUAACUUCGGGAGAAGGGGUGCCCACGCGAGUGGGCCGCAGAGAAUAGGCUCAAGCAACUGUUUAGCAAAAACACAGGUCUAUGCGAAACCGAAAGGUGAGGUAUAUGGGCUGACGCCUGCCCGGUGCUGGAAGGUUAAGAGGAGGAGUCAGGCAACGAAGCUCCGAAUUUAAGCCCCAGUAAACGGCGGCCGUAACUAUAACGGUCCUAAGGUAGCGAAAUUCCUUGUCGGGUAAGUUCCGACCCGCACGAAAGGCGUAAUGAUUUGAGCACUGUCUCGACAAUGCACCCGGUGAAAUUGAAGUACCAGUGAAGAUGCUGGUUACCUGCGCCAGGACGGAAAGACCCCAUGGAGCUUUACUCCAGUUUGAUACUGGGAUUCGAUACUGAAUGUACAGGAUAGGUGGGAGGCUGAGAAGCGUGGACGCCAGUCUGCGGUGAGCCGCUGUUGGGAUACCACCCUUUGAGUAUUGGAUUUCUAACCUGCGCCCGUGACCCGGGCGGGGGACAAUGUCUGACGGGGAGUUUGACUGGGGCGGUCGCCUCCGAAAGGGUAUCGGAGGCGCUCAAAGGUUCCCUCAGAAUGGUUGGAAACCAUUCGCAGAGUGCAAAGGCAGAAGGGAGCUUGACUGUGACACCGACGGGUGGAGCAGGUACGAAAGUAGGACUUAGUGAUCCGGUGGUAUGAAAGUGGGAUUGCCAUCGCUCAACGGAUAAAAGCUACCCUGGGGAUAACAGGCUUAUCACUCCCAAGAGUUCACAUCGACGGAGUGGUUUGGCACCUCGAUGUCGGCUCAUCGCAUCCUGGGGCUGUAGCAGGUCCCAAGGGUUGGGCUGUUCGCCCAUUAAAGCGGUACGCGAGCUGGGUUCAGAACGUCGUGAGACAGUUCGGUCCCUAUCCGGCGCAGGCGUAGGAUAUUUGAGAGGAGCUGUCCUUAGUACGAGAGGACCGGGAUGGACAGACCGCUGGUGUAUCUGUUGGUGACCAACACCAUGGCAGAGUAGCCAAGUCUGGCAGGGAUAAACGCUGAAGGCAUCUAAGCGUGAAGCCCCCCUCAAGAUGAGAUAUCCCAAUAAGUAAGACCCCUUAGAGAGUAUGAGGUAGAUAGGCUUAAGGUGUAAGCAUAGUAAUAUGUUCAGCUGAUAAGUACUAAUAGGUCGAGGGCUUAUU